rnacentral:lncRNA from 1 species
GUCAUUGGUGUCCCCAUGUCCCCGUACCCCAAUUUUGGCGUCCCCAUUGUCCCCUUUUCCCCAUCCCCAACACCCCACAGACCUUGGUGCCCCAUUCCCGGUGUCAUUGAUGUCCCCAUGUCCCCGUACCCCAACUUUGGUGUCAUUGGUGUCCCCAUGUCCCUGUACCCCAAUUUUGGUGUCCCCACAUCCUCGUACCCCAAUUUUGGUGUCAUUGGUGUCCCCAUUGUCCCCAUUCCCCCGUCCCCAACACCCUAUAGACCUUGAUGCCCCAUCCCUGGUGUCCCCAUGUCCCCGUCCCCCAAGUUUGGUGUCAUCGGUGUCCCCACAUCUCUGUACCCCAAUUUUGGUGUCCCCACAUUCUUGUAUCCCAACUUUGGUGUCAUUGGUGUCCCCACAUCCCUGUACCCCAAUUUUGGUGUCAUUGGUGUCC